rnacentral:rRNA from 1 species
ACGAACGCUGGCGCGUGCGUUAAACACAUGCAAAGUCGAACGAGAAGAGAUGAGAAGCUUGCUUCUAUCAAUUCGAGUGGCAAACGGGUGAGUAACGCGUAAGCAACCUGCCCUUCAGAUGGGGACAACAGGCUGGAAACGGCUGCUAAUACCGAAUACGUUCUUUUUGUCGCAUGGCAGAGGGAAGAAAGGGAGGCUCUUCGGAGCUUUCGCUGAAGAGGGGCUUGCGUCUGAUUAGCUAGUUGGAGGGGUAACAGCCCACCAAGGCGACGAUCAGUAGCCGGUCUGAGAGGAUGAACGGCCACAUUGGGACUGAGACACGGCCCAGACUCCUACGGGAGGCAGCAGUGGGGAAUCUUCCGCAAUGGACGAAAGUCUGACGGAGCAACGCCGCGUGAACGAUGACGGCCUUCGGGUUGUAAAGUUCUGUUAUACGGGACGAAUGGCGUAGCGGUCAAUACCCGUUACGAGUGACGGUACCGUAAGAGAAAGCCACGGCUAACUACGUG